GGGGAAAAUUUGCCAAUGGGGGGAACCCUGACGCCGCAAUACCGCGGGGGGGAAGAAGGGUUUUGGGGUGGAAAGAUCAGGUAAUUGGGGAGGAAAAAAAACGGGUACCCAGAAAGAAAUCCCGGCCAAAUACCGGCCAGCAGCCGCGGUAAUACGUAGGGGACAAGCGUUGUCCGGAUUUACUGGGCGUAAAGGGCACGCAGGCGGUUUUUUAAGUCAGAUGUGAAAGGUACCGGCUCAACCGGUGACAUGCAUUUGAAACUGAAAGACUUGAGUAUUGGAGAGGCAAGUGGAAUUCCUAGUGUAGCGGUGAAAUGCGUAGAUAUUAGGAGGAACACCGGUGGCGAAGGCGGCUUGCUGGACAAAUUCUGACGCUGAGGUGCGAAAGCGUGGGGAGCAAACA
rnacentral:rRNA from 1 species